AUAUUCUUCUUUGUUCAUGUUCUCUUCUAGAACAUGAGAUGGUAAUGAUUUCUUUCUCUUUUUACAAUAGGUACCUCUCUCCAAAGAAAACUCAAGUAUAAAUGGUGUUUGUUUGUAGGUUUCAAUUCUUAAGAACUACUACUGAAGCCUAAAUUCAUCAUUUUUUGAGUGCAUGUUAAAUAUUAAUUUCUUAAUUAUCUUUCUAUUUUCAAGAAGUUGGUUGAGUUGUGCAUUUAAUCUGCAAGUCGAAAAAAGUGUUCAUUUUAAAAUGGUAAGGGAAGACCGAUGCGUAAAGACUCGUGCUCUCUUUAAUUCAGAUUUACCUUCUAUCAAAUAUUUCAGGUUAGACAUGCAUACAUUAGUGGAUACGCCUGGGAGUGAAGAUAGUUUUCUAGGCUUUUUGGUAAAAGAAAUCAAUUGU